rnacentral:rRNA from 1 species
CAGUCGCCGCGGGAAUACGGAGGGGGCUAGCGUUGUUCGGAAUUACUGGGCGUAAAGCGCACGUAGGCGGCUUGGUAAGUUAGAGGUGAAAGCCCGGAGCUCAACUCCGGAAUUGCCUUUAAGACUGCCGAGCUAGCAGGUGAGAGAGGUAAGUGGAAUUCCGAGUGUAGAGGUGAAAUUCGUAGAUAUUCGGAAGAACACCAGUGGCGAAGGCGGCUUACUGGCUCAUACUGGACGCUCAUGCACGAAAGCGUGGGGAGCAAACAGGAUUAGAUACCCCAGUAGUCCCUGUCUCUUAUAA